CUCCAAGCCGCGCCUCGACCCGCCAUCGCGCCGCUUCGGCUUCUGACAGGUCUCGGCUGCCUCAAGCCUCAGCGAGGAUAACGCUCCUGAGGUAAAUGGCGCCAUUGAUUAGGCUGUCAAUUGAUAGGGUCACCUUGGGUCAAAUGCCUCUCUCUGAAUGUGUGAAUGAAUUGAGUUUCACAGUGGGAAGACUCGCGGAGAAUACAAGACACAAUGAAAUGAAGCUGAAAUAGAACUCUACCCUCUUGUCUUAUUUUCAGGAUCUGCUUUACGUAUCAGCAGAAAAAUAGCAAUAAAAAAAACAAUAUUCACAAAGGAUUAAGUUGUACUCGAGCUAAUGUCAAGUUAGUAUUUUUUUUAAAGAAAUUCAUUUAAUUAUUCUGCAAGAGACAUCAUGGUUUUAGGUACAUUUUUCUUUUUUGUGUGUCUUUCGGUCACUAUUGACUCCUACGUAGCAACUACAGGUAGUCUUGACUUACAACAGUUCAUUUACAGCAUUCCAAGUUACCCAGGAGUGGGGUGGGAAUGGAGAUUUUGCAGUAUCCUUCCUCUGCCAUGCCCACCAAGCCACACCACGCCCACGGAACCGGUAGUAAAAAAAAAAAUUAGAUUUCGCCACUGGUCAACAGUAUUAAGUACCUGCGGGUGCAAAUAAUUAACAAUCUGAAUUGGUCUCUUCACACAUCAUCCUUAGUGAAGCAUGCAAAGCACCAUCUGCAUUUCCUGCAUCGGAUGAGGAGAGCAUAUCUUUCUCCUUCUGUCCUGGCUACUUUUUGCAGAGCCACAAUGGGGAGCAUUUUAAUGAGCCGCAUGAUUACUUCUUGGUUUGGCGGCAGCAGUGCCUCAGAUAGAAAGUCCCUACAGAGAGUGGUGAGGACAGCGGAGAAGAUUAUAGGAAGCUCGCUUCCCGUUCUUCAGGAUACCGUUUAUAAGCGCUAUAUGCUUAGAGCUCAAAGCGUUGUUAGAGACCCCACACACCCACUUUACGACCUGUUUCUGUUGCUCCCCUCUGGGAGGAGGUUUCAAAGUAUUUCUAGCAGGACUACCAGAUUCUGUAACAGCUUUGGUCCCUACACCAUCUGUCUGGUGCUAAACUCGCAAGAUUUGUUUUUCUCGCCAUGUACAUGUAUACCUCCGAACUAGAGUGUGUUGUCUCUCCAUGUCAUAUAUUUGGGUACCUGCAUAAUUUUGUAUCAUCUAUCUAUCUAUCUAUCUAUCUAUCUAUCUAUCUAUCUAUCUAUCUAUCUUAUCUCUAUCUAUCUAUCUCUAUCUCUAUCUAUCUAUCUAUAUCUAACUAUCUCUAUCUCUAUCUCUCUAUAUAUCUACAACUAUAACUUAUCUAUUUCUAUCUCUAUCUAUCUCUAUUUAUAUCUUUCUAAUUAUCUAUAUAUCUAUAACUAUCUCUAUAACUAUCUAUCUCUAUCUACCUCUAUCUCUAUCUAUUCUAUCUAUCUAUAUCUAUAUCUACCUCUAACUAACUAUCCAUCCAUCUAUCUAUCUAUCUAUCUAUCUAUCUAUCUCUAUCUUGUUAUGUUUAUGUAGUGUCUAUUGGCGGUGGUAACCCUUUGAGAGCUGCAUGUAACGAAAUUUCAUUUUAAUGUAUGCCGAUCCGUGUACAUUCAAAGUGACAAUAAAGUUUAUUCUAAGUUCUAA